GUGAAUCAUCGAAUUUUUGAACGCAAAUUGCACUCUCCUCGGAGAGUAAGCCUGUUUGAGGGUCAGCAUAUAAAAAAUCGACAUCGGUGCUGUUUCGCGGUGACGUGCGUCGGAAAUUGGGUCAUAUUAAAUCCUUGUGGUUUUAAGCGACUUAAAAAUUUAUAUUUGGUUCCAUGAAAGUUUCUAAGAGUAAUAUCUUUACACGUUUAAGGUAUAGAUUUUUAUUAGACGUGACCAUCAUAUCGGAUAGCGUCAAUAAUCUUUCAUUAACUGAUCU
rnacentral:misc_RNA from 1 species